AGCCAUGCAUGUCUAAGCUAGAGCCGAACUAUGGUGAAGCCGCGAAUGGCUCAUUACAACAGCCGUUGUUUCUUGGAUCUUGAUUUACUUGGAUAACUGUGGUAAUUCUAGAGCUAAUACAUGCAACCAAGCUCCGACCUCGCGGAAGGAGUGCAUUUAUUAGACCAAGACCAAUCAGGCUUCGGCCUGGAAUCUGGUGACUCUGAAUAACUUUGCUGAUCACAUGGUCCUAGUACCGGUGACAUAUCUUUCAAGUGUCUGCCCUAUCAACUUUCGAUGGUAGGUUAUGUGCCUACCAUGGUUGUAACGGGUAACGGAGAAUAAGGGUUCGACUCCGGAGAGGGAGCCUGAGAAAUG
rnacentral:rRNA from 1 species